rnacentral:rRNA from 1 species
AGGAAUAUUGGUCAAUGGGCGAGAGCCUGAACCAGCCAAGUAGCGUGAAGGAUGACUGCCCUAUGGGUUGUAAACUUCUUUUAUAAAGGAAUAAAGUCGGGUAUGCAUACCCGUUUGCAUGUACUUUAUGAAUAAGGAUCGGCUAACUCCGUGCCAGCAGCCGCGGUAAUACGGAGGAUCCGAGUGUUAUCCGGAUUUAUUGGGUUUAAAGGGAGCGUAGAUGGAUGUUUAAGUCAGUUGUGAAAGUUUGCGGCUCAACCGUAAAAUUGCAGUUGAUACUGGAUAUCUUGAGUGCAGUUGAGGCAGGCGGAAUUCGUGGUGUAGCGGUGAAAUGCUUAGAUAUCACGAAGAACUCCGAUUGCGAAGGCAGCCUGCUAAGCUGCAACUGACAUUGAGGCUCGAAAGUGUGGGUAUCAAACAGGAUUAGAUACCCUGGUAGUCCACACGGUAAACGAUGAAUACUCGCUGUUUGCGAUAUACAGCAAGCGGCCAAGCGAAAGCGUUAAGUAUUCCACCUGGGGAGUACGCCGGCAACGGUGAAACUCAAAGGAAUUGACGGGGGCCCGCACAAGCGGAGGAACAUGUGGUUUAAUUCGAUGAUACGCGAGGAACCUUACCCGGGCUUAAAUUGCAGAUGAAUUACGGUGAAAGCCGUAAGCCGCAAGGCAUCUGUGAAGGUGCUGCAUGGUUGUCGUCAGCUCGUGCCGUGAGGUGUCGGCUUAAGUGCCAUAACGAGCGCAACCCUUGUUGUCAGUUACUAACAGGUUCUGCUGAGGACUCUGACAAGACUGCCAUCGUAAGAUGUGAGGAAGGUGGGGAUGACGUCAAAUCAGCACGGCCCUUACGUCCGGGGCUACACACGUGUUACAAUGGGGGGUACAGAGGGCCGCUACCACGCGAGUGGAUGCCAAUCCCCAAAACCUCUCUCAGUUCGGACUGGAGUCUGCAACCCGACUCCACGAAGCUGGAUUCGCUAGUAAUCGCGCAUCAGUCACGGCGCGGUGAAUACGUUCCCG